UGUGGGUAGGGGUGAAAGGCCAAUCAAACUCCGUGAUAGCUGGUUCUCCCCGAAAUGCAUUUAGGUGCAGCGUCGCAUAUUAUGCUUGUUGGAGGUAGAGCUACUGGUUGGUUGAGCGGGACGAUAAUCUUAGCAACAUCAGCUAAACUCCGAAUGCCAGCAAUGUGGGUGCGGCAGUGAGACUGCGGGGGAUAAGCUCCGUUGGUCGAGAGGGAAACAGCCCAGAUCGUCGGUUAAGGCCCCUAAGGGUGUGCUCAGUGGGAAAGGAUGUGGGAUCGCGAAGACAGCCAGGAGGUUGGCUUAGAAGCAGCCAUCCUUGAAAGAGUGCGUAAUAGCUCACUGGUCGAGUGGUUCUGCGCCGAUAAUGUAGCGGGGCUUAAGUACACCGCCGAAACCGCGGCAACACGCGUAAGGUGUGUUGGGUAGGGGAGCGUCGUGCAUGUGUUGAAGCUAUUUGGUGACAGGUGGUGGAGUGUGUGCGAGUGAGAAUGCAGGCAUGAGUAACGAUUGAUGUGUGAGAAACAUAUCCGCCGGAUGACUAAGGGUUCCUGGGUGAAGUUUGUCUUCCCAGGGUGAGUCGGGGCCUAAGGCGAGGCCGACAGGCGUAGUCGAUGGAUGACGGGUUGAUAUUCCCGUACCCGUGUGCGUGCGACAAGUGAUGAAUCUUAUGGUACUAACCGCCCGCUUGUUUCCGCUAAUCUUUUUGGUUGGUGGUUUCAGGUGCGUGGGAUCUUCGUGGGUAGUAGUCAAGUGAUGGGGUGACGCAGAGUGGUAGCUAGGCUUCCUUAUUGGAUUGGAGUGCAAGCGUGUGGCCUGUGGGGUUGGGAAAUCCGCCCCACAUGAGGGUGAGGCGUGAUGCGGACACCAUUUGUGGUGGUAGUUAGUGUGCCUGUGCUGCCUAGAAAAGCCUCUAGCGAGUGCGUGCAUGGCCCGUACCGGAAACCGACACAGGUGGUCAGGUAGAGAAUACUAAGGCGUUCGGGUGAACUGUGGUUAAGGAACUCGGCAAAAUGCCCCCGUAACUUCGGGAGAAGGGGGACCAUUACUGGUUGCUGACAGCAUGAUGGCUGGUGGUGGUCGCAGAGGAGAGAGGGAAGCGACUGUUUAUUAAAAACACAGGUCCGUGCGAAAACGUGGAAGUUGAGGUAUACGGACUGACGCCUGCCCGGUGCUGGAAGGUUAAGAGGACCCGUGAGCACAUCUUUGUGGUGUGCGAGGCGGAGAAUUGAAGCCCCAGUAAACGGCGGUGGUAACUAUAACCAUCCUAAGGUAGCGAAAUUCCUUGUCGGGUAAGUUCCGACCUGCACGAAUGGCGUAACGACUUCCC
rnacentral:rRNA from 1 species